rnacentral:rRNA from 1 species
AUGCGACCCUUCACCCUUGUGUACACCGAUCUUUUUUCUACCAAGUAUGACCUUGUGGCCAACCACAUCAAAUACGGUUUUGACAGUUCGUUGAUGACGUGUUGCGGGUACGGAGGGCCACCAUACAACUAUGAUUUGAGCAGGAGCUGCCAGUCCCCGAAUGUGACGGUCUGCGUUGAUGGAUCAAAGUUCAUCAGCUGGGACGGCGUAAACCUCACCGAGGCCGCCAACGCUAUCGUGGCUGCAACCGUACGUACAGAGCUCCAAAUAUUCCAGACCAAAGCUCAAGUUUGA